AUUGAACGCUGGCGGCAGGCCUAACACAUGCAAGUCGAGCGGAGCGGCGGACGGGUGAGUAAUGCCUAGGAAUCUGCCUGGUAGUGGGGGAUAACGUCGGGAAACGGGCGCUAAUACCGCAUACUAUCAGAUCAGCCUAGGUCGGAUUAGCUAGUUGGUGGGGUAAAGGCCUACCAAGGCGACGAGCCGUAACUGGUCUGAGAGGAUGACCAGUCACCCUGGGACUGAGACACGGCCCAGACUCCUACGGGAGGCAGCAGUGGGGAAUUUUGGACAAUGGGGGAAAUCCUGAUCCAGCCAUGCCGCGUGUGUGAAGAAGGUCUUCGGAUUGUAAAGCACUUUAAGUAGGGAGGCGUUACCAACAGAAUAAGCACCGGCUAACUACGUGCCAGCAGCCGCGGUAAUAC
rnacentral:rRNA from 1 species